UACAGAGGGGGCAAGCGUUGUUCGGAAUUACUGGGCGUAAAGGGCGCGUAGGCGGCCUGUUAAGUCGAACGUGAAAUCCCCGGGCUCAACCCGGGAACUGCGUCCGAUACUGGCAGGCUUGAAUCCGGGAGAGGGAUGCGGAAUUCCAGGUGUAGCGGUGAAAUGCGUAGAUAUCUGGAGGAACACCGGUGGCGAAGGCGGCAUCCUGGACCGGCAUUGACGCUGAGGCACGAAGGUCAGGGGAGCAAACGGG
rnacentral:rRNA from 1 species